AUUGAACGCUGGCGGCAGGCCUAACACAUGCAAGUCGAGCGGAUGAAGGGAGCUUGCUCCUGGAUUCAGCGGCGGACGGGUGAGUAAUGCCUAGGAAUCUGCCUGGUAGUGGGGGAUAACGUCCGGAAACGGGCGCUAAUACCGCAUACGUCCUGAGGGAGAAAGUGGGGGAUCUUCGGACCUCACGCUAUCAGAUGAGCCUAGGUCGGAUUAGCUAGUUGGUGGGGUAAAGGCCUACCAAGGCGACGAUCCGUAACUGGUCUGAGAGGAUGGUCAGUCACACUGGAACUGAGACACGGUCCAGACUCCUACGGGAGGCAGCAGUGGGGAAUAUUGGACAAUGGGCGAAAGCCUGAUCCAGCCAUGCCGCGUGUGUGAAGAAGGUCUUCGGAUUGUAAAGCACUUUAAGUUGGGAGGAAGGGCAGUAAGUUAAUACCUUGCUGUUUUGACGUUACCAGCAGAAUAAGCACCGGCUAACUUCGUG
rnacentral:rRNA from 1 species